rnacentral:lncRNA from 1 species
GCCGGGGCCUGCGGCGCGCCCAGCGGCUCCAGGUCCCCGGCUUUAGAAAGAAGACUUGACGCCUGUGACGACUCCCCUCUUAAGCCACAGACAAUAUGAGGACCCCGGGGGUCGGCGCGACCGGGCAGGAUCGCGCCCCGCUUGGGGCUGGACCCUGGUCCACGGAGCCCCGCCCCUAGCCCCGCCCACCACACCUGCCGCCUGCUCGAGGCUUGGACACGCCCGGGUCUUCUCUUGCCCCGCGCUGCGCCACCCGACCUGGGCCCUGGGAUGGGGCAGGGGCGGGGGGUGCUCGGCCCUGCCACACUGUGUGACCUUGGGAAGAUGCUUUUGCUGCUGCCAUUUCACAGACGGGAAAGCGACAACGGCCCGCCUGGACUUGAACACAGGCCCAAGGCCUUCUGACCACUUGCCCGCCUCUGCUGGGUAGGCUCAGGUUAGAGGGCCCUUUGCCCUCCCGGACCCAUUCCUAGGCCAUUGGGGCAGCUCCCUGGGCCCACCUCUCUGCCACUCCUAGCCCAGGCCACCUAGGCAGGAGCUCCCAGCCUGCCCGGGGCUGAUCCCCAGCCCACUGACCCCAGCCCUGGCCCCAGCGGGCAGGCGGGCAUUGCUCAACCUUUGGUGUUAUCUGCUGAGCUGGGGUGACCUCCGCCCCCAAGAGCUGGAGAAAUGACAUCUCUGGGCACCCUUGGUGGGUAGGAGGCAGGGAGGGAGGGGAUAAAACACUGGCCCAGCCUGCUGGCUUUCUGGGUCUUCCCAGCAGCCUCUGGGUUGGGGAGGGAUCAAGGCCCAGAGGGGUGCGGCAGCUUCCCUAGGGCCACCCGGCCAGCCCUUCCUCACUGCAAAAUGGGACACUCAGGGCUGAGCUAGAGGCCACGGCUUCUGAGAGGCCCUCCCUGUCCCACCUGCUAGUGAAUUUCCUUCCCUAUCGCCAGCCACCAUUAUCCUAGCUGUCUACCUCAGUCUCCCUGCAGGCUGCCACUUGGGGAGGGCUGGCCCACGAGGGACUCCUGAGCACAGCACGCUCAACAUUUACCAGUGAAGGAAUGCAUUUGCUGUUCCCUGUGCACCAAGAACACUGUCACCCCACCUCUGCCCAAGGCAGCUCCUCAGGUCUCAGCCCAAAAGCUGCCUCCUCCGGGAAACCCUCCCUGACCUUCCCAUGGGAAGUCUAGGCCCUCAGUCACUCCUCUCACACCCCUGCUUCAUUUCCGUCACCAUUCUCAUUAUAAUCAGAAUUAUCUUGCCUGCCAGUCUUGCUGUCUGUCCCCACGGCCUUCACUACUGUGUCCCUGGUGCCUAGAACAGAGCCUGGUACAUAGAAGGUGCUCGAUGAAUGAUGAGGAAACUGAGGCCCAGAAGAGCUAAGUGUGUCUGCUCCAGGUCACAUGAAAGGAUGAGAAGGAAUAAAAUCUUUCCAGUCUGACUUUCCCUCUUGGGUUUGUCAUAACAGGCCUGGCAAUCUUUUCCCUAUCCCAUUUUCAAGAGGAGAAAACUGAGGCGAUUUGCCAAGGGGAGAUCCACGUGGCUGCUUUGACAGAGAGUGUUCUGCAAAAGGGCUUAGAAAUCAGCCAGCAGGUGGGAAAAUAUGGCGGAGAGGUGAACCAUCAGAACAUGAAUGGGGGGGUGUCUCUAGUGGGCGUGGGGCAGGGGGAUGGCAGGGGGAUGGCCUUUCAUGCUGCCCUGUGCCUUCCAUGCUGUGGCUCUCCGGCCGUGUCUGGUGUCCCCUCUGGGCCUCAGUCCCUGGUAUAUAAAAUGAGGUGAUAAUAUUCUAUCUGGGAUUCUGGGCCUGCUGUUACCCCUCACUGCUGGCCUUCCCCGACACAUUAGAGUUAAUCAGAUGUCCCUUUCACCCCACAAAGCAGGCAGAUGGGGAAACUGAGGCCCGAAGAGGAUUAGAACUUCCUACUUCCCCCUCCAAAUCCCCCUUGUACCCUUGUGAAUGGGUACAAGAGCCAGACUUAAAAGCCAGAUUCCCUGAUUCCAAUGUUUGAGAUUUUCCCCAUCAUGCCUCCUCUCUGAGGCCUCAGUUUCCCCAUCUGCCAAGUGGGGCUGGCAGAGAUAGAUCCCCAAGGGCUGCCAGGCUCCGAGGUUCUGAGAUCCAGGAUUUUGGAGACGGGAGGUGCUCAGGACCGGUAGUGAAACUUGCCUGAGUAUAUACUGCCCCCAGGUGGCAGGUUCUGGGACUGCAGGAGCCAUUCACAUGCGUGAAGAUCCGCUGGGCGCCCUUGCUCUGGGAUCAGGAAAGGCCGGUGCCAUGGAUGUGAUAGAUGCACACAGGGCAUCAGCAGGCCGCCGAGAGGAACCAGAGUGUCCAACGAACAGAAAACAGUGCUCAACCUUCACAUUUAUCGAAUGUUCCUUGGCACAUGCUGUAAUUCUGGCCCUAAAGACACAUUCAUGGACAAGACAAGCAAUUCCUGUUCUCGUGGAGCUGAAAUUCUCCUGGGGGAAGACAAGCACUAAACAAGAUCAAUGAUUAAAGUAUAGAUUGUAUUAGAUUCUGGUCAGCACUAUGGAGGAAAAUACAGCAGGGGAGCAGAGCAGGAGUUCUGGGAGAUUUGAUUUUUUGUUUUCUGGGGUUUUUUGUUUGUUUGUUUUUUGAGACAGGGUCUCACUGCUGGAGUGCAGUGGCACGAUCUCUGCUCACUGCAGCCUCUGCUUCUUGGGCUCAGGUGAUCCUCCCACCUCAACCUCCCAAGUAGCUGGGACCACAGGGGCAUGCCACCACACCCAGCUGAUUUUUUAAUGUUUUGUAGAGAUCAGGUCUCAUUAUAUUGCCCAAGCUGGGGGAGUUGAUUUUAACUUUAUGUUAGAGUAGUCAGGGAAGACCUCACUGAGGUGACAUUUAAGCAAAAACCUGAAUGUGGUGAAGCAGGUAUCUGGGGGACCUUGGACCACACAAAGGGAACAGCAAGUGCAAAGGCCCUGAGGUAGGAGCACGUAGUUGUGGUGAUGACGGAGAGUAGCAGGAAUUUGUGUCAUAGAAAUAGUGGGGGCUGGCCAGGCACAGCGGCUCAUGCCUGCAAUCCUAGCACUUUGGGAGGCCGAGGUGGGUGGAUUACUUGAGGUCAGGAGUCUGAGACCAGCCUGGCCAACAUGGUGAAACCCCAUCUCUACUAAAAAUUAAAAAAAAAAAAAUGGCCAGGCAUGGUGGCGUGCAUCUGUAAUCCCAGCUAUUCAGGAGGCUGAGACAUGAGAAUCACUUGAACCCGGGAGGCGGAGGUUGCAGUGAGCCGAAAUUGUGCCUCUGCACUCCAACCUGGGUGACAAAGCAAGACUCUGCCUCCAAAAAAAAAAAAAUGGAACAUGGAAACAUGGAAUGGGAGAAAAUAUUUGCAAAUCAUAUAUCUGAUAAGGGGUUCAUAUCCAGAAUACAUAAAGAACUGUUACAACUCAACAGCAAUAAAAACAACUCAAUUAAAAAUGGGCAAAGGACUUGAAUAAACAUUUCUCCAGAGAAAACUGUGAAUGGCUAAUAAUCACAUGAUAAGAUACUCAACAUCACUAACCAUUAAGGAAAUACAAACCAAAACUGCAAUGAGGCGCAACACUUUGGUGGAUCACCUGAGGUCAAGAGUUGGAGACCAGCCUGGCCGACACGGUGAAACCCCGUCUCUACUAAAAAUACAAAAAUUAGCUGGGCGUGAUGGUACGUGCGUAUAGUCCCAGCUACUUGGGAGGCUGAGGCAGGAGAAUCACUUGAACCUGGGAGGUGGAGGUUGCAGCAAGCCAAGAUCACGCCACUGCACCCCAGCCUGGGCAACUGAGUGAGACUCCAUCUAAAAAACAAACAAAACGCAAUGAGAAGAGAGGAUUUUGAAUGUUCCCGACACAAAGAAAUGAUAAACGCUUGAGGUAAUGGAUAUCCUAAUUACCCAGAUUUGAUUAUUACACGUUGUAUACAUGUAUUGAAAUAUCAUUUUGUAACCCAUGAACAUGUACAAUUAUGUGUCAACUAAAAAUAAAAGGAAUAAAACACAAUGAGAUACCACCUUACGCCCAUUAGGCUGGCUGCUGCGUUGGGAAGGAUGUGUAGAAACUGGAAUGCUUGUGUAGCUACUGUGGGAAAUGGUAUGGCUGUUCCUCAAAAAAUUAAAAAUAGAAUUACCAAAUGACCCAGCAAUUUUAUUUCUGGGUGUGUAUCCAAACGAAUUGAAAGCAAGAUCUUGAAGAGAUAUUUGUACACUCACGUUCAUAGCAGCCUUCUUCACAAUAGCCAAAAGGUGGAAGCAAUUAGCUGGGUGUGGUGGCGGGUGCCUGUAAUCCCUGCUACUU